AUGAUGGGCUUUCUUUGUUAUUCACAUGUUGGGCUCUACGUUUGACUGCUCUAUUCGACCAAAGACGAUGCGACUUGCCCUCUAACCUAAUUUCUCCAUCGACGAUUUGCUGAUCGUCUGCGACCUUGACUCUCUAACGUCUUAUCUAGAAUCUCAUUUUCCUGUUUUGAAGGCUGGCAGCUGUUCUUCCAGGGUCGAGGAAUCCAGGAUCGUAGCUUUAUCGGUUCACAUGAUCCCUCAAGACCCAAACUGUUCAUAUUCAUCGGUACAUCCAAUUUUUUCCCACAAAGGUUAGGAUGAAAAUGGAAUCAUGUAAGAUGUUCAUCGGUCGACUAUCAUGGAAGACCACUGAAUAUCGAGAGUACUUCAGAGUUUCGGUGAGGUUUUACAAGUGGUGAUCAUGAAGGAUCGAGCCACUGGCUGUGCUCAUGGCUUUGGUUUUUUUUUUCGUUGCUGGUUCCAGUGUUGCUGUGAGAGCCAUAUUGCUCAUUCACGUCAUUGAUGUUAAAUUUUAAGUUUUCAUCAAAUCCCUUUUGAGCCAUUACUUCAUUGCUUCAGUAUCAAUUAAUCUACUUACAAUAAUUAGUUGUUUGGAACAGAGGUUACUGCUCCUCCAAGUAAAGCUAUCGUUUUAUUCAUUCCUGUUUUUGCCUAUGUUCUUCUGCAUUUUCGCCAAAGGUGAGCCUGGUUAUUUAUCAACGCCAUGUCAUGAACUUGCAUCUACUUUGAUUCAGAAGCAGCUGCAGGACAGUGUUACUAUGAGAGUCAGUCGACGUUCCCUGUACCGGCAACGUAAUGGGAAUUCAAUCUGAUAAUGGCUGGUGUUAUCUUCAUUCACCGGCAUUAGAUGUGGUGAAUCAAAUGCUGUUGGUGUCUUCAGGUACAGCUUUCAAGAGUAACAACACAUGGUGGUCUCAGAAUACUUGACAAAACGGCUGCAACAAGCAGUCCAAAUGGUGUAACUAAUAUUGUUUACAGAUAGAUUUUCAAAGACCUUGGGACAGCUAGGAUAUGCGAGCAGUUUACUUGAUAGCAGCAGCAAGGCUACUUCCUGCAAAACAAACAUACUACCAACAAUCCAGUGACUGGAAUAGCUGGGAGUGUGUCUUCGUGCAGCUGUGUCCCCAAGAUUUCAUAUCUAACUUUAGUGCUUUGAUUCACCAGUCACCCUGUGGUUGGUUGUUGUUUUUAUGUUAAAUACGAGAAGAAUAUUUGGGCAUAUAUAUAUAACUUAAAUAAAUGGAUGCAUCUGGUUUA